rnacentral:rRNA from 1 species
CCAAGAUUGAAAGCUGGCGUCUUCGGCGUCCGCAUUGUAAUCUCAAGAAGUGUUUUCCGCUUCGGACCAUGCCUAAGUCCCUUGGAAAAGGGCAUCAUAGAGGGUGAUAAUCCCGUACAUGGCAUGGAGCGCCCGAAGCUUUGUGAUACGCUUUCUAAGAGUCGAGUUGUUUGGGAAUGCAGCUCAAAAUGGGUGGUAAAUGCCAUCUAAGGCUAAAUAUUGGGGAGAGACCGAUAGCGAACAAGUACAGUGAUGGAAAGAUGAAAAGAACUUUGAAAAGAGAGUUAAACAGUACGUGAAAUUGCCAAAAGGGAAGGGUAGGAGGUCAGAGAUGCGGCCUAGGAUUCAGCCUUGCUUUUGCUUGGUGUUUUUCCUAGAUUGCAGGCCAACGUCGGUUUUGGGCACUGGAGAAUGGUGGAAGGAAUGUGGCACCUCUCGGGGUGUGUUAUAGCCUUCUACUGGAUACAGCGACCGAGACCGAGGACAGCAGCGUACUCGCAAGAGCGGGCCUUCGGGCACCUUUACGCUUAGGGCGUUGGCAUAAUGGCCCUCUACCACCCGUCUUGA